rnacentral:rRNA from 1 species
UGAUGCACCGAAGCGACGAGACCUUGAAAGCAGUUUUUUCAAGUAUGGGUAGCGGGAUGUUCUAUCAAUAGGGGAAGGUUUUUGGUGACAACACCUGCAAAUAUUAGAAGUGAGAAUGCUGACAUGAGUAAUGAGAAAUCCUGUGAAAAACACAAUCGCCUGGUAGUGGAAGGCUUUCUGUGUUCAGUCAAUCUACAUAGAGUGAAUCGGUCCCUAAGGAACCCUUGAAAGGGCUGUCGUCCGAUGGUCACAUGAAAUUGACGAAGUUGCUUUGACUACUGAACCAUGCCUGUCUGUUGGAGCGAAUUGGGUGAGUGGGCCGAGGGUUGCCCCCUCUUCCCCUCGCUCUCCUUUCCCUAAUAUUCACCUUGUGUAAUCAAAGCCUUAAUUAGAUAAUUCAGAAGGGCUCGAUUGGCCCGGUCGCCCUACUCUACUGGUGCUUCCAAAGGCGAAGCACUCAUCUUUGACAACCAGCAAACAAAGGGUGCGUGCCCUUAUGUUUUGAAACUGGGGCGGACACUUUUUCUUCUCUAAAGGCCAAGACUCUGAAGUGGGCGAACACUCGGCCCAGCUGGCGAACAUGCCGGGCUCUAGCUCAGCGCACCUGCUGACACCUUUCAAAGUAUUUUCACAUGUGAACCGAAGUCGCCUUGCGUCACUCAUUUCUUUCUCAUUUAAGUGCUCGCCUUUUUCAUCUUCAGUGGGGGCCUUCAUUUGAUUAGAGUAGGGUCGCAAGAGAGUAGAGCAUACUGCCUUGCCAUAGUCGUGAAGAUCUUGAUAGUAGAUCACGAUUGUCUGUUGUCAUAGUCAACGGCGGUUGAAACUUCCAGGAAAAAACUUCGAAUUGGGAGGGCGAUCCCCCCGUUGAACUGACUGUACCCCAUACCAACAAAAGUGAAUAAGUACAGUAUACUAGGGCACGUCGAGAGAACCAUGUCGAAGGAACUCGACAAAAUGACCCCUUACCAUCGGGAGAAGGGGUGCUCUCCUCUUGAUUAGGAAAGUGGCACAACCUAGGGGGUAGCGACUGUUUAUUAAAAACACAGGACUCUGCUAAGUGGUAACACGAUGUAUAGAGUCUGACACCUACCCGGUGCUGGAAGGUCAGAAGGAGUAGUGUGAUAAGCUUUGAAUGGAAGCCCCGGUAAAUGGCGGCAGUAACUCUAACUGUCUUAAUGUAGUGAAAUUCCUUGUCGCAUAAGUAGCGACCUACACGAAUGGUGUAAUGACUACCCCAUUGUCUCUGACAUGGACCUGGUGAAAUUGAAUUCUCUAUGAAAAUACGGAAUACCAACGGCUAGAUAGUAAGACCCCAUGCACCUUGACUAUAGCUUUGUAGUAACAACCUUGAUCGAAUAUGUAGGAUAGGUGGAAGGUGGUAACAUACAAGGAUAAAUCCUGAAAGACCACUCUUUCGUCUAAGGAUGCCUAACCACCGCACUGAUCAUUUGGGGGACGGGACACUGCGAGGUCGGUAGUUUAUCUGGGGUGGAUGCCUUCGAAAGAGUAACGGAGGUGUGCGAAGGUAGGCUCAAGCGUUGAUUCCGCUCGUAAGCGUAAUGGUAUAAGCCUGCCUGACUAUGAGACAGACUAGUCGAACAGAGACAAAAGUCGGCCAUAGUGAUCCGGGAGUCCCGUGUGGAAGGGCUCUCGCUCAACGGAUCAAAGGUAGGCUCGGGAUAACAGGCUAAUGACUCCUAAAAGCUCUUAUCGACGGAGUCAUUUAGCACCUCAAUGUUGACUCAUCACAUCAUGGGGUUGAAGAAUGUCCCAAGGGUUCAGUUGUUUGCUAAUGAAAGUCGUACGUGAGUUGGGUUUAGAACGUCAUGAGACAGUUCGGUUCCUAUCUACCGUUGGUGUUAAAGGAAGAACUGCGAGGAGCCAACCCUAGUAUGAGAGGACUGGGUUGGGUCAACCUAUGGUGUACCGGUUGUUAUGCCAAUAACUACGCCGGGCAGCUAAGUUGGUAUGGAAGAACUGCUGCGCCGUGUGAAAUCUUUCUCUAUACAAGUUCUCAUACUAGGUUUUUGAACAGAACUUCGAUAGGUGAGAGGUGUAAGCACCGCGAGGUGUGAAGCG